rnacentral:rRNA from 1 species
AGGCUGUGAAGCGGAGCAAAUCUCAAAAACCGGUCCCAGUUCGGAUUGUAGGCUGCAACUCGCCUACAUGAAGUCGGAGUUGCUAGUAAUCGCGGAUCAGAAUGCCGCGGUGAAUGCGUUCCCGGGUCUUGUACACACCGCCCGUCACACCAUGGAAGUUGGGGGCGCCCGAAGUUGCCUAAGAAAUAAGGUACCUAAGGCGAAACCAAUGACUGGGGUGAAGUCGUAACAAGGUAUC